GAUGAACGCUGGCGGCGUGCCUAAUACAUGCAAGUCGAGCGAACGGACGAGAAGCUUGCUUCUCUGAUGUUAGCGGCGGACGGGUGAGUAACACGUGGAUAACCUACCUAUAAGACUGGGAUAACCUCGGGAAACCGGAGCUAGUACCGGAUGAUAUUUUGAACCGCAUGGUUCAAAAGUGAAAGACGGUCUUGCUGUCACUUAUAGAUGGAUCCGCGCUGCAUUAGCUAGUUGGUAAGGUAACGGCUUACCAAGGCAACGAUGCAUAGCCGACCUGAGAGGGUGAUCGGCCACACUGGAACUGAGACACGGUCCAGACUCCUACGGGAGGCAGCAGUAGGGAAUCUUCCGCAAUGGGCGAAAGCCUGACGGAGCAACGCCGCGUGAGUGAUGAAGGUCUUCGGAUCGUAAAACUCUGUUAUUAGGGAAGAACAUAUGUGUAAGUAACUGUGCACAUCUUGACGGUACCUAAUCAGAAAGCCACGGCUAACUACGUG
rnacentral:rRNA from 1 species